GUCCGGGAAGCCGGCAGCCGGCAGGCGAGGGCGGCGGCUGGGGCGGCAGGACCCCAGCGGCCAUUACGCGGCCGGGGCCUGGUGCUGCUCGCGCGCCCCCGCUGCCAGGCGGCGAAACGCGGGUGAUUCCUGCCAAAAAACGUGUGGUGCCCGGCGUACCACCCCCGACUGCGAGCUGAAAACGUGCCCGACCUCAGGGUAUAUUUUUUUUCAAACUAACUCCGCCUGUCCUUUAUUCCAGUAGAACUGAGGAGCAGGAUGGUGGAGGAGGGUGACAGGCAGAGAGUGACAGCAUCAGGAGCCCUUGCUGUGUCAGCUGGAGCAACAAUUGCUUUACUUGUUUGCUCUUUUGGCCCUGGAGUGAUACUGGGUGAUGACGUUUUUCCAUACGCAAGCAACCUGGCACUUAUGUAGAGGAAACCCUGCUCCUUUUGAAGAGCUUUACGUGGCUGGCUGGGGACAGUCGCCCUUCCGAAUUGAGCAAAACCCAUGGCAUUCAUGCCCGCACCCUAGCCUGGAUUGCUCAGACAUGUCCUGUUGCCUGGGCUUUCUAUGAUGGUGGAACGGGCUUGAUAAGGCUUAACGUGGUAAGAGUCCACAUACAUCAGUGAAAUGCAGGAAAUAUGGGUGGCGUGCAGCUGUGGUUAGGAGAACGCCUUCGGAANNNNNNNNNNNNNNNNNNCAACCCCUAACUUUUGGUUUUUGCCCCCCCCCCCCCCCAAAAAAAAAAAAAGUUUCAGAUAAUUUGUGUGAAAUGCAAAAUCAGAAGUUUUUUUUUGUUUUGCAACGAGAUAUCAGUAGGCCUUUCUGUUCAGGUGUGGAGUAGAGAGGGGAAGAGGGAACUGCAAGAACGGGUUCCCUCCUUUUCAAGCCUACCUGAUGUACAGGGAGACCAGAUUUAAUAAAUAUUGAUUAAAACUUCA
rnacentral:lncRNA from 1 species